rnacentral:lncRNA from 1 species
AUCACUUCAGCUCUGAAUAUUCCUGCAUUAAUAGAAACUUUAGGGGACAUCUCAUAUGCAAACCACAGUAUCCUAUCCCUGGCCCCCAAAAGCUCAUGUCCAUUUCACAAUGCAAAAUGCAUUAGUUCAUCUCCAAGGGCCCCAUAGUUUUAACAGUUGCAGCAUUGCCCACAGAUCCAGUUCAAGUCCAGUCUCCUCUGAAAGUCAAAGCGAACUGUGAGCACCUGUAGAAAACAAGUUCCAUAUAUCCAAUAUACAGUGACACAGAGUGAACAUUGCUAUCCAAAAGGGAGGUAUAAGGGCACAGGAAGAAAGAAUGGGACCAAAGCUAGCCUGAAACACACUGAGAACUACCCACUAUAGAACUCUGUCUGUAGCUCCUUAUACAGUACCUAGAACACAUGGCCACGUGAUGUGCUCUCCACAGGGCUUAAGCAGCCCACACUACUGGCCUUGCUCAUUGCAGUGCACGUGAGCUCUCUCUCAGCCUGGCCUUCUCUGCAGCCAGGAGCUUUUCUCAGCAGACGCCCACGUUACUGGCAUCUCACCUUCACAGCUUCAUAUGUCACCCUCUCAGAGGCAGCUGAACCAGCACUAUGUGGAGGAGUCCAAGGUCUGCUACCAGCCUGUGCGAUACCUGGAC